rnacentral:rRNA from 1 species
GGCUCAGAUUGAACGCUGGCGGAAUGCUUUACACAUGCAAGUCGAGCGGCAGCGCGGGCAACCUGGCGGCGAGCGGCGAACGGGUGAGUAAUACAUCGGAACGUGCCCAGACGUGGGGGAUAACUACUCGAAAGAGUAGCUAAUACCGCAUAUGAUCUAAGGAUGAAAGCGGGGGAUCGCAAGACCUCGCGCGUUUGGAGCGGCCGAUGGCAGAUUAGGUAGUUGGUGGGGUAAAGGCUUACCAAGCCUGCGAUCUGUAGCUGGUCUGAGAGGACGACCAGCCACACUGGGACUGAGACACGGCCCAGACUCCUACGGGAGGCAGCAGUGGGGAAUUUUGGACAAUGGGCGAAAGCCUGAUCCAGCCAUUCCGCGUGCAGGAUGAAGGCCCUCGGGUUGUAAACUGCUUUUGUACAGAACGAAAAAGCUCUAGUUAAUACCUGGAGUCCAUGACGGUACUGUAAGAAUAAGCACCGGCUAACUACGUG